AUACUUACCUGGCAAGGGAGACACCAUGAUCACGAAGGUGGUUUUCCCAGGGCGAGGCUUAUCCAUUGCACUCCGGAUGUGCUGACCCCUGCGAUUUCCCCAAAUGUGGGAAACUCGACUGCAUAAUUUGUGGUAGUGGGGGACUGCGUUCGCGCUUUCCCCUG
rnacentral:snRNA from 1 species